GCCAGCAGCCGCGGUAAUACGUAGGGGGCGAACGUUGCUCGGAAUUACUGGGCGUAAAGCGUGCGUAGGUGGCUGAGCAAGUCAAAGAUGAAAUCCCGGGGCCCACCCUCGGAACUGUUUUUGAAACUGCUUAGCUUGAGGAUAGUUGAGGAUAAUGGAAUUCCCGGUGGAGCGGUGAAAUGCGUAGAUAUCGGGAGGAACACCAGAGGCGAAGGCGAUUAUCUGGACUAUUCCUGACACUGAGGUACGAAAGCUAGGGGAGCGAACGGGAUUAGAUACCCCGGUAGUCCUAGCUGUAAACGAUGGGCACUAGAUGUUUCCGCAUUUUGUGGGAGUGUCGAAGCUAACGUGUUAAGUGCCCCCGCUGGGGAGUACGGUCGCAAGGCUGAAACUUCAAGGAAUUGAAGGGGGCC
rnacentral:rRNA from 1 species